rnacentral:rRNA from 1 species
AGCGAACGCUGGCGGCAGGCCUAACACAUGCAAGUCGAACGAACCCUUCGGGGUUAGUGGCGGACGGGUGAGUAACACGUGGGAACGUGCCUUUAGGUUCGGAAUAACUCAGGGAAACUUGUGCUAAUACCGAAUGUGCCCUUCGGGGGAAAGAUUUAUCGCCUUUAGAGCGGCCCGCGUCUGAUUAGCUAGUUGGUGAGGUAAUGGCUCACCAAGGCUACGAUCAGUAGCUGGUCUGAGAGGAUGACCAGCCACAUUGGGACUGAGACACGGCCCAAACUCCUACGGGAGGCAGCAGUGGGGAAUUUUGCGCAAUGGGCGAAAGCCUGACGCAGCCAUGCCGCGUGGAUGUUGAAGGUCUUAGGAUUGUAAAAUUCUUUCACCGGGGACGAUAAUGACGGUACCCGGAGAAGAAGCCCCGGCUAACUUCGUGCCAGCAGCCGCCGUAACAC